rnacentral:rRNA from 1 species
AGAUACCCUAUUAUAAAAAUUUAAAUUAAUUUACUAAAAAAUUAAUAGUUAUGUUCUUUAAAUUUAAAAAAUUUGGCGGUAUUUUAGUCUUAUUAGAGGAAUCUGUUUAUUAAUUGAUAAUCCACGAUUAAUUUUACUUAUUUUAAUUAAUUCAUAUAUCGCUGUCAUGAAUAUAUUUAAAAAUUUAUUUUCUUUAAUUAUUUUAAUAAUUUAUGUUAAGUCAAGAUGUGGUUUAUAAAUAAGAAUAUAAUGGGUUACAUUAAAUUUUAUUUUUGGAUUUAAAAUGAAAAUUAAAAUGAAAUUGGAUUUAAUAGUAAGUUUAAUUAAUUUAUUAGUAUGAAUAAAGAUCUAAAUUAU